rnacentral:rRNA from 1 species
UGCGUAGGGCGCAAGCGUUGUCCGGAAUUAUUGGGCGUAAAGAGCUCGUAGGCGGCCUGUUGCGUCCGCUGUGAAAUCCCGGGGCUCAACCCCGGGCCUGCAGUGGAUACGGGCUGGCUAGAGGCAGGCAGGGGAGAACGGAAUUCCUGGUGUAGCGGUGGAAUGCGCAGAUAUCAGGAGGAAUACCGAUGGCGAAGGCAGGUCUCUGGGCUGACACUGACGCUCAUGCACGAAAGCGUGGGGAGCAAACAGG